CCGCGACGCCGCCACUAGCAUCGACACGCCCCUGGCCAAACCAAGCUGUGGAAUCGGCUUGGUUGCCAGCGCGGUGCCGCGCUCCGUCUGCUGCUCCCCAAUGGCGACCCCGCCUCCUCGUCGACCACGAGCCCCAGCUCGAGCUCCUGGUGGUUAUGUGGUGUUAGUUGCUGCUGCGGUGGUGAUGGGGUACUGCAGUACUGCUGCUCUGGUGCUUACUUCAGCUGCGACCCCGACAUUGGCGGAACGGUGCCGUAGGCGAACCCCGGCGUCCUCUGCCUUGCCUGCCUCCUCUACAGGACACUUCGCAGAUCUCCCAGGCCUCCCUCGAUGAGAACCUCCUCAGCCCUCGUCAUCCCUCCCCCCCGCGCGAUCAGAGAUUCUCCUUGCAUGAUGACUUGUCGAAGAGGAUGUCUUCAUUUCCAGCCAAUUCAGCUUCUUCUGUGCGUGAUGAAUCUCAGUUGCAAAUGGCAAAAACUUCAAGCAAAGCUAUCCUUCGGUGGAACCCCUCUCUUCCAGAUAGAAAAUAUUAAUGAGGAUGUUGAGCGCAAAUUUCAGCAUGUUGCAAGUUCAGUGCAUAAGAUGGGAAUGGUAUUAGACUCUGUUCAAAAUGAUGUUAUGCAGUUAAACAGAGCCAUGAAGGAGGCACCACUAGAUUCAGGUAGCAUACAGAAAAAGUUUGUGCUUGUAGAGACCUCUCCAGCAAAUUCUUAAGGGACAAGACGAUCUCAAGGCGCUCCUUGAAGGCAGCACAAAAAGCAAUCCUGACCAGAUGACAGCUCUGAACAACCACACCAGCAAACUAGAUGAGAUAUUAUCGACACUUUCAAUGAUUCAAUCCUGAAGCAAGUGCAGGAAGAUUUGAGGCAACUGAAGGGUGACAUCUUCAGAAUAUUUACAAAAGAGAUGGAGGGGAUUGUUAGAGCUAUCAGUUCUCUCAAUAGUUGGCCUGAUGCAAUGCAAGCACCGACAGCAUGUGUCCUUUUUACCCAACUGAUUAAAUGCACAAGUAUUGCAGCAUUCCCCUCUUACUCUUUUUUUCUUUGCUUUGCUGAAGUUUCCUUUAUUUUUAAAAUUUGCUAUUUAUCUGUAAGACGGUUUCCUUGUUGCACAGCCGGUUCAUUGGUGAGAGUAGCUUACCUGUUGUGCUUUAACAGGUCCGCAGAUUUUAUGCCCGGUUAUCCUUUAAUUUUCCCCCCUUUGUUGCUGCAUGUAUACUAGUUUUUCAUUUUAUCCAAUCUGGUAGAAAGAGCCGCAGGGAUUAUUAUCCAGGAGGUGCUUGUACCCCUUUCCAGAGCCCGUUUUUUACAUAUCAUACAGUACGAUUUGGUGUGCACCUGGUGAAUUGCUGCUAAAAUCAAUUCUGUAGCUUUAGCCUACCUGCUAUUACCUCUGUUUACUUGGCUAAAACAUGCUUUUUGGUAGUAUAAUUUUCAUCUCCGUUUUGCUGAAUCAUUAUCACUACUCUCAAGGUACAAUGCUAAAUACUCAAGGUGAUGUUGAUCACUGAUGUCUUACCAUCUCAGUUGUCUGUGUUCAACUGAAGGUGAUGCUGAUCAGUGAUGUUCGAAGUCGAAAUAUGGUGAUGAUUUUGACAGUAUACAAACCGAGAGUGUCAUAAUUUUCUUCUCCGUUUUGCUCUGUAAGACAUAGUUAGAUAUUAUGUUGAACGCAACAAAGUGCAUUGGAUUCUUGUAUGACAGUAUAUAUGUUGGUACUGUGUGUUCUUAUUCAUGUAUGACAGUAUGUGCUCAUUCUUGUAUGA